CAUAUUUAGCUUGUGAUCCAAUAUGACUCCACAGUACUCCUUCCUAGGCAGUCAUUUCCCAUUUUUUAUGUGUGCAACAGAUUGUUCCUUCCCAAAUGGAGUAGUUUGCAUCUGUCUUUAUUGAAUUUCAUCCUAUUUACUUCAGCCCAUUUCUCCAGUUUGUCCAGAUCUUUUGAAUUUUAAUCCUGUUCUUGAGCAACCCCUUCCACCUUGGGAUGAUCUG